GAAUUCGCCCUUAGAGUUUGAUCCUGGCUCAGAUUGAACGCUGGCGGCAUGCCUUACACAUGCAAGUCGAACGGCAGCGCGGGGCAACCUGGCGGCGAGUGGCGAACGGGUGAGUAAUAUAUCGGAACGUACCCUGGAGUGGGGGAUAACGUAGCGAAAGUUACGCUAAUACCGCAUACGAUCUAAGGAUGAAAGUGGGGGCUCGCAAGACCUCAUGCUCCUGGAGCGGCCGAUAUCUGAUUAGCUAGUUGGUGGGGUAAAGGCCUACCAAGGCAUCGAUCAGUAGCUGGUCUGAGAGGACGACCAGCCACACUGGAACUGAGACACGGUCCAGACUCCUACGGGAGGCAGCAGUGGGGAAUUUUGGACAAUGGGCGCAAGCCUGAUCCAGCAAUGCCGCGUGAGUGAAGAAGGCCUUCGGGUUGUAAAGCUCUUUUGUCAGGGAAGAAACGGUGGGAGCUAAUAUCUCUUGCUAAUGACGGUACCUGAAGAAUAAGCACCGGCUAACUACGUGCCAGCAGCCGCGGUAAUACGUAGGGUGCAAGCGUUAAUCGGAAUUACUGGGCGUAAAGCGUGCGCAGGCGGUUUUGUAAGUUUGUCGUGAAAUCCCCGGGCUCAACCUGGGAAUGGCGAUGAAGACUGCAAGGCUAGAAUCUGGCAGAGGGGGGUAGAAUUCCACGUGUAGCAGUGAAAUGCGUAGAGAUGUGGAGGAACACCGAUGGCGAAGGCAGCCCCCUGGGUCAAGAUUGACGCUCAUGCACGAAAGCGUGGGGAGCAAACAGGAUUAGAUACCCUGGUAGUCCACGCCCUAAACGAUGUCUACUAGUUGUCGGGUUUUAAUUAACUUGGUAACGCAGCUAACGCGUGAAGUAGACCGCCUGGGGAGUACGGUCGCAAGAUUAAAACUCAAAGGAAUUGACGGGGGCAAGGGCGAAUUC
rnacentral:rRNA from 1 species